GAAGGAGGGAGUAAGCAGAGUCGUCGUGCUUGGGACCGGCGGCGGGGUGGGCGUAGGCAGGAGGUAGGGACGUUGUCGCAGAGGUACCUGCAGUCGUCGUCGUCGCAGAGGUACCUGCGCCGCCGCACUGCCGAGCGGCCCCACCUAGGGGAGGAGGCGGGGGUAGGAGGUGGAGAGGCCGGCCGGUCAACGUUGCCAACCUCCGUAACCACACUCCCACAACACGACUGCACGAGGAGGUACAGAGCACGCUCAAGAACCACAGCGCUAGUACCGAGGUCUCUCGUCGCGAAGUUCCAGUGAAUUCGAACUUACCCAAUAGUUCAGAUGACCUUGGUAAGUACAAAUCCGAACAAGUAACCAAAAUCUUGUCUGUGAGGGAAUUCAUACAAAUUAGUGUUAAUUUUCCUCCUUCGGUUUAAUAACGUUACACACCGACGUCCAUUUCAACAGUUCAACUAGACCACGAACGAACUCGGCAACUAAUGACGACGAAACGAUUCCAAGUUGCAGAAUGAUGUACUCUUUAAAUAAGGUUACGAAAGAGUUAGGGAAAUGGUACUACUGAUGGUCUCCUUGGAAGUUACACAUAUCUACCACUACCUAUACCCCUGUGUGUUCUUGAUCGCUUGAAUUAUGGUCUACGGGAGUUGAUACUUAAGAAAUUAAUAACCUCCGAAAGUAUAAGUAUAGUUAUGUUCCACCCUAUACUACGUCAAACGUCACACUAAAAGGCACUAAGGCCUAGCCCGCGUGGAGCAGCAGCACCUCUCGUACUCACCGACCCAGACGUACCAGUCACCUCUACUCCAAGAAAACCUAAUUACGAAGACGGACUACUCAAGGAGGGGAAAAUACAGCGUCCGACAUUCUAGAGACGUACAACAACGAACGAACAAGACGGUCACCAAAACAAGUGAAGGAAAAGAUAAAUAGAUGACGUAAGAAAAGAAAGGAUACACAACAGUACCUAUAAUCAAAGCUAACACAAAUAUAAGUCCUAAACCGUGUCUCAAAACAAGAUAAAACCGAGUACGAACGGCGAACACACUAACUUGUAUACCACAAAACAGAUGAAUUGGUAAACACACAUCAUCAUAAGUAAAAUAGGAACUAGUACACGCAUACAUGAUGACUUCAUCAAAAUUAACUAUAUUUUCAAAAGUACAUAACGUCGAUAAACUGAAACUCGUUGGUGUUAGAUGUUCCUUGCAAUCCUCAUUUAAUAUUAAAAGGUAGAGCUUUCGCAAAACAUACGUCUUAACCAAUCGUAAUAGAGAUCUAUGUGGCAAAUGAUAAUUCAUCUAUUAAAUGUACAACAGCACCUGAUUUCCACCACUAUAUAUGAAUAUACGGGUAAGUGUUGACGAUAAUAAAUUAUACAAAGGGAAACCCGUAGAUGUUACGAUCCUCGAAUGUAUCCGCGAAUGCUUGUUUUAUUAUUUUAGACUUCUUGUGGAUUCGCGGAGUAGGGAGUUGCGAUCUGCGAUUAAUUGAUUUGUUGCAUCUACGAUUCACUACCUUCUUUUUACCGGUUCGCGGCCCACGCACUAAACCGCAGCUGCGGUCCCAACUGCGGUCCUAAUAUCGGCCGUUGGCGAUUAGACGACCCUAAUGCUCGGACCGCGGCCCCGAUUCGCGGGUCACUACCUCUACGGGAAUAUAGUAACGCUUCAACUUUAUAACAAAAAGGACCAGAAGAUCCAAGUGUAUCAGGAGUUCUCAUAGGAAGAUACAACACUAAGAUUUUUAUAAAACUCAAUAAAGUAAAACUGAUGAAGUACGAACUUGAACCUUAACAACCGAUUCGUCAAGAACUUUAAACUUCCCUCGCACACAUUCAGACAUCAUUAACCGUCACGUUUGUACUAGUCGGAUAACUACUACAUCAUGAAUUAUACUAGUAAUAGACCAAAUGAACAACAUAAAAUAACGCGUAUCAUCUGGUGGUACGUAGUGGUUGGUCCAUUUUUACAAUGUAGUCCCCCGAAAGUACUCGAUUAACGUGUUAAGAAAUUCGAUACGAGACUUGCAAUCACCGGAAUAAGUUCGAAACAUCCAACGUCACAUUACACUUCUAAGGUUGCCUAUAGUUCGAAAUUUAACCCUAGUAAACGUUUCGCCUUUAUAUCUCUAGCUGUAGACUACCCUUCCUUGUACAGCUUAUAUUACCGGUUUGUUCCUUCCCUGUACUCCGACAUUAUAGUAAAAGCAAGAGUAAAGAACAUCCUUCAGUGUUGAUCCUCACUACCACCUUUAUAUUGACGGUCAAUCAUGGAAAUACAAAAAGAUUUUCUUGACACUCGAUGGCAAUCAAAGAAAAGGACCAAGCAUUAGUCAUAUAUGUCAAUGGUGUGUUAGUACUAGUAGUUACAAGUGUUGACAGACUUAGCACACUAAGUUUCGUCUUGGGUAUACUAACGGUGAGUACGUACAUUACACAAUAGACGUCAUAUAGAGUUAAAACUUACACUGUACAGUACAUACAUACAAUUGAAGUCUAAAAACAGUUGGAGAAA
rnacentral:rRNA from 1 species